GAGCAUACGAGGGGAACUGAAACAUCUAAGUACCCUCAGGAAAAGAAAACAAGUUAGUGAUUUCCCUAGUAGCGGCGAGCGAACGGGAAGCAGCCCAAACCGGCUUCCUACGGGGAGUCGGGGUAGUAGGACCUGCAUAAUGAGCGCAAGCUUAAGUCGAAACUGCCUGGAAAGCAGUCCCAUAGAAGGUGAAAGGCCUGUAGGCGUACGGCGAGCAAUCUGGCGGGUAUCCUGAGUA
rnacentral:rRNA from 1 species